GGAGGCAGCAGUGGGGAAUUUUCCGCAAUGGGCGAAAGCCUGACGGAGCAAGACCGCGUGGGGGAAGAAGGCUCUUGGGUUGUAAACUCCUUUUCUCUGGGAAGAACAAAAUGACGGUACCAGAGGAAUCAGCAUCGGCUAACUCCGUGCCAGCAGCCGCGGUAAGACGGAGGAUGCAAGCGUUAUCCGGAAUGAUUGGGCGUAAAGCGUCCGCAGGUGGCAGUUCAAGUCUGCUGUCAAAGACCGGGGCUCAACCUCGGAAAGGCAGUGGAAACUGAACAGCUAGAGUAUGGUAGGGGCAAAGGGAAUUCCUGGUGUAGCGGUGAAAUGCGUAGAGAUCAGGAAGAACAUCGGUGGCGAAGGCGCUUUGCUGGACCAUAACUGACACUCAGGGACGAAAGCUAGGGGAGCGAAUGGGAUUAGAUACCCCAGUAGUCCUAGCCGUAAACGAUGGAUACUAGGUGUUGUCUGUAUCGACC
rnacentral:rRNA from 2 species